rnacentral:rRNA from 1 species
UACCAGCUCUCCGAGUGGUGUGGAUGUUUAUUGGGCCUAAAGCAUCCGUAGCUGGCUGUUCAAGUCCCCUGUUAAAUCCAGCGAUUUAAUCGUUGGUUUGCGGGGGAUACUGUUCGGCUAGGGGACGGGAGAGGCAGACGGUAUUUUCGGGGUAGGGGUGAAAUCCUAUAAUCCCGGGAAGACCACCAGUGGCGAAGGCUGUCUGCUAGAACGCGCCCGACGGUGAGGGAUGAAAGCUGGGGGAGCGAACCGGAUUAGAUACCCGCGUAGUCC